UAUAACUCCGACCUAAUUUUGAGUUUUAAGUAUAUAUGGUUUUACUGCAAAAACGAACAAAACAAAAAAUAUACCGAAUUAGCACAAACACUGUAACUUUCUUCUGAUUUACUUGUCGUAUUUCCCUGUUCCCUGUAUUGGCAGUUAUCUCCCAAUAGGACUAACAGCAGCAGCAAUAACACUAUGAAGUCAGUAGAUGGCUGUAGAAAAGUAUGUUGAACACUCUUGUGUUAGAGUAAUAAGAUUGGGGAAGGCCUUGACCUGACUGGAUGCUGCUUUUAUCUGAAGUACAUUUAAAGAGAUAAAGGGGAAGCAGGGUGCAGUACAUGCUCCUUUCUUUUCCAUGGGAGCUCUGCUUUGAGUUAAAAAAUUCUCAAGUGCAGGAUUUGUGAACUGGGUCCUUUAGCAAGGAAAUGUAAUGGCUUAAAUGCCACUGGAGUCACCUGCUUUACACUGAUGAUUUUUUUUUCCCGUCAAGACGUCUUAGAAAUCUUCCUAUAAAUUCCUACUGAGGGGGCUUCUGUAAAUCCCAUAGCAGCUAUCAGGAAGUGGUGUAUCCCCAUUUAUUUCUUUAUUUCUUUAUUUAUUUUUCCGCUUUUACCACUGUAGGUGGCUGCCUUUAGUGCACGGACCUGCUCAUUAAACAGACACACCAAGAAUUGUUACCUAAGCAAGCCUGACAGUAAAGAAAGGACAGGCAGAGUUAGGGAGAAAAAGGGAAGAAAAAAAGACAGCCUGAAGCAAGUCACUUCACACGCAGAAAGAGCCACUGAACGAAUGCUAUUCUCAUAAACAAACAAAAAAUAUCUUGUUUAAGAAAAGAAGAGAACUGUGAGGACUUGACAGAAAAAGGCAAGAUUUUCUACCCACUGGUUUCAGUUUUCCUUCCAGACAUACUUGGUGAAGUAAGGAGACUUCUCUUUGCUGACAGAUCCCUUGAUUUCUCUUUCAAGAUGAUGAUGUAUUUGUGGUUAUCUACACUACCCAUUUACAGGGCUUUGGCACAUUUAAGGGACAAAAAUAAAACGUAAGUAGAUCCCUUCCAUGCUACAAGAACAGGCCAUAGUGUAAUAAUGUUAGAUGGCACUUCUUUUGUUUCUAUGUUUUUUGUAGCCCUUUUCUUUCACAUUCAGUUCUAGUUCAUUUAUAGCUAGUCUUAGCUCCUCUUGUUCCUGUUUCUAGUCUGUGAUCAAUGAUUGACUGAGCUGAGGGGUGAAAACAUUAUCUACUUAAAGUGCAGUUUCUGCAAAAGACUCCAAAGCCCCCUCAGUUGUUUGGGUUGGGUUAGCAUUUUUGUUUAGAUAUAAGGAGUUAUGAGAGAGGUGAUUGUGUGUGGUAGCCUUCAUUAUCCACGUCUUGUAAAGGGUAGUGUGAUGAAUUUUUGUCAACCUCAUUGCAAAAGUUGUUUGUUG
rnacentral:lncRNA from 1 species